AUUGAACGCUGGCGGCAGGCUUAACACAUGCAAGUCGAGCGGGGUGAUGGUGCUUGCACUAUCACUUAGCGGCGGACGGGUGAGUAAUGCUUAGGAAUCUGCCUAUUAGUGGGGGACAACAUCUCGAAAGGGAUGCUAAUACCGCAUACGUCCUACGGGAGAAAGCAGGGGAUCACUUGUGACCUUGCGCUAAUAGAUGAGCCUAAGUCGGAUUAGCUAGUUGGUGGGGUAAAGGCCUACCAAGGCGGCGAUCUGUAGCGGGUCUGAGGGGAUGAUCCGCCACACUGGGACUGAGACACGGCCCAGACUCCUACGGGAGGCAGCAGUGGGGAAUAUUGGACAAUGGGGGGAACCCUGAUCCAGCCAUGCCGCGUGUGUGAAGAAGGCCUUAUGGUUGUAAAGCACUUUAAGCGAGGAGGAGGCUCUUUUGGUUAAUACCCAAGAUGAGUGGACGUUACUCGCAGAAUAAGCACCGGCUAACUCUGUGCCAGCAGCCGCCGCAG
rnacentral:rRNA from 1 species